rnacentral:rRNA from 1 species
GAUGAACGCUGGCGGCGUGCCUAAUACAUGCAAGUCGAGCGAACGGACGAGAAGCUUGCUUCUCUGAUGUUAGCGGCGGACGGGUGAGUAACACGUGGAUAACCUACCUAUAAGACUGGGAUAACUUCGGGAAACCGGAGCUAAUACCGGAUGAUAUUUUGAACCGCAUGGUUCAAAAGUGAAAGACGGUCUUGCUGUCACUUAUAGAUGGAUCCGCGCUGCAUUAGCUAGUUGGUAAGGUAAUGGCUUACCAAGGCAACGAUGCAUAGCCGACCUGAGAGGGUGAUCGGCCACACUGGAACUGAGACACGGUCCAGACUCCUACGGGAGGCAGCAGUAGGGAAUCUUCCGCAAUGGGCGAAAGCCUGACGGAGCAACGCCGCGUGAGUGAUGAAGGUCUUCGGAUCGUAAAACUCUGUUAUUAGGGAAGAACAUAUGUGUAAGUAACUGUGCACAUCUGGACGGUACCUAAUCAGAAAGCCACGGCUAACUACGU